AGCCGCGGUAAUACAUAGGGGGCAAGCGUUAUCCGGAAUUAUUGGGCAUAAAGGGUGCGUAGGCGGCAAGUUAAGUUUAAGGUAUAAGCUCAUGGCUCAACCAUGGGAGGCUUUAGAAACUGGCUAGCUAGAGUGCAGUAGAGGCAAGUGGAAUUCCAUGUGUAGCGGUAAAAUGCGUAAAUAUAUGGAGGAACACCAGUAGCGAAGGCGGCUUGCUGGGCUGUAACUGACGCUGAGGCACGAAAGCGUGGGGAGCAAACAGGAUUAGAUACCCUGGUAGUCCACGCCGUAAACGAUGAGUACUAAGUGUCGGGGGAAUCUCGGUGCUGAAGCAAAUGUAAUAAGUACUCCGCCUGAGUAGUACGUGCGCAAGCAUGAAACUCAAAGGAAUUGACGGGACCCUGCACAAGCGGUGGAUCAUGUUGUUUAAUUCGUGGAUACGCGAAGAACCUUACCAGGCCUUGACAUCUUCUGCAAAGCUAUAGAGAUAUAGUGGAGGUUAACAGAAAGACAGGUGGUGCAUGGCC
rnacentral:rRNA from 1 species